rnacentral:rRNA from 1 species
GAUGAACGCUGGCGGCGUGCUUAACACAUGCAAGUCGAACGAGAACGGGUUAUAGCUUGCUAUAAUUGUCAGCUAAGUGGCGCACGGGUGAGUAAUGUAUAGGUAAUAUGCCUCUUACUAAGGGGUAACAAAUGGAAACGUUUGCUAAUACCUUAUACUCCUUAUUAACAUAAGUUAAUAAGGUAAAGAUUUAUUGGUAAGAGAUUAGCCUGUAUUGUAUCAGUUAGUUGGUGGGGUAAUGGCUUACCAAGACUAUGACACAUAACUGGUUUGAGAGGAUGAUCAGUCACACUGGAACUGAGACACGGUCCAGACUCCUACGGGAGGCAGCAGUGGGGAAUAUUGCACAAUGGACGAAAGUCUGAUGCAGCAACGCCGCGUGGAGGAUGACACAUUUCGGUGCGUAAACUCCUUUUAUAUGAGAAGAUAAUGACGGUAUUAUAUGAAUAAGCACCGGCUAACUCCGUGCCAGCCGCCGCGGUAACAC